rnacentral:lncRNA from 1 species
CAGUAAUCUCAUGGGCCUCUCUUUUUGUACUUCCCUCAGGUUCACUCAGAAUGAUGACAGUCCAUUUCUUUGAGACGCUCCUAAAGCCCUGGGGCUGCUAAUAUCACA